UACGUAUGGUGCGAACGUUGUUCGGAAUCACUGGGCAUAAAGAGCACGUAGGCGGUUAAGCAAGUCCAUUGUGAAAUCCCCCGGCCUAACCGGGGAACUGCAUUGGAUACUACUUGACUUGAGUGCAGGAGGGGAGAGUGGAAUUCCAGGUGGAGCGGUGAAAUGCGUAGAUAUCUGGAGGAACGCCGGCGGCGAAAGCGACUCUCUGGUCUGUAACUGACGCUGAGGUGCGAAAGCGUGGGGAGCAAACAGG
rnacentral:rRNA from 1 species